rnacentral:rRNA from 1 species
UUAAGCGACUAAGCGUACACGGUGGAUGCCCUGGCAGUCAGAGGCGAUGAAGGACGUGCUAAUCUGCGAUAAGCGUCGGUAAGGUGAUAUGAACCGUUAUAACCGGCGAUUUCCGAAUGGGGAAACCCAGUGUGAUUCGUCACACUAUCAUUAACUGAAUCCAUAGGUUAAUGAGGCGAACCGGGGGAACUGAAACAUCUAAGUACCCCGAGGAAAAGAAAUCAACCGAGAUUCCCCCAGUAGCGGCGAGCGAACGGGGAGCAGCCCAGAGCCUGAAUCAGUGUGUGUGUUAGUGGAAGCGUCUGGAAAGGCGCGCGAUACAGGGUGACAGCCCCGUACACAAAAAUGCACAUAUUGUGAGCUCGAUGAGUAGGGCGGGACACGUGGUAUCCUGUCUGAAUAUGGGGGGACCAUCCUCCAAGGCUAAAUACUCCUGACUGACCGAUAGUGAACCAGUACCGUGAGGGAAAGGCGAAAAGAACCCCGGCGAGGGGAGUGAAAAAGAACCUGAAACCGUGUACGUACAAGCAGUGGGAGCACGCUUAGGCGUGUGACUGCGUACCUUUUGUAUAAUGGGUCAGCGACUUAUAUUCUGUAGCAAGGUUAACCGAAUAGGGGAGCCGAAGGGAAACCGAGUCUUAACUGGGCGUUAAGUUGCAGGGUAUAGACCCGAAACCCGGUGAUCUAGCCAUGGGCAGGUUGAAGGUUGGGUAACACUAACUGGAGGACCGAACCGACUAAUGUUGAAAAAUUAGCGGAUGACUUGUGGCUGGGGGUGAAAGGCCAAUCAAACCGGGAGAUAGCUGGUUCUCCCCGAAAGCUAUUUAGGUAGCGCCUCGUGAAUUCAUCUCCGGGGGUAGAGCACUGUUUCGGCAAGGGGGUCAUCCCGACUUACCAACCCGAUGCAAACUGCGAAUACCGGAGAAUGUUAUCACGGGAGACACACGGCGGGUGCUAACGUCCGUCGUGAAGAGGGAAACAACCCAGACCGCCAGCUAAGGUCCCAAAGUCAUGGUUAAGUGGGAAACGAUGUGGGAAGGCCCAGACAGCCAGGAUGUUGGCUUAGAAGCAGCCAUCAUUUAAAGAAAGCGUAAUAGCUCACUGGUCGAGUCGGCCUGCGCGGAAGAUGUAACGGGGCUAAACCAUGCACCGAAGCUGCGGCAGCGACGCUUAUGCGUUGUUGGGUAGGGGAGCGUUCUGUAAGCCUGCGAAGGUGUGCUGUGAGGCAUGCUGGAGGUAUCAGAAGUGCGAAUGCUGACAUAAGUAACGAUAAAGCGGGUGAAAAGCCCGCUCGCCGGAAGACCAAGGGUUCCUGUCCAACGUUAAUCGGGGCAGGGUGAGUCGACCCCUAAGGCGAGGCCGAAAGGCGUAGUCGAUGGGAAACAGGUUAAUAUUCCUGUACUUGGUGUUACUGCGAAGGGGGGACGGAGAAGGCUAUGUUGGCCGGGCGACGGUUGUCCCGGUUUAAGCGUGUAGGCUGGUUUUCCAGGCAAAUCCGGAAAAUCAAGGCUGAGGCGUGAUGACGAGGCACUACGGUGCUGAAGCAACAAAUGCCCUGCUUCCAGGAAAAGCCUCUAAGCAUCAGGUAACAUCAAAUCGUACCCCAAACCGACACAGGUGGUCAGGUAGAGAAUACCAAGGCGCUUGAGAGAACUCGGGUGAAGGAACUAGGCAAAAUGGUGCCGUAACUUCGGGAGAAGGCACGCUGAUAUGUAGGUGAAGUCCCUUGCGGAUGGAGCUGAAAUCAGUCGAAGAUACCAGCUGGCUGCAACUGUUUAUUAAAAACACAGCACUGUGCAAACACGAAAGUGGACGUAUACGGUGUGACGCCUGCCCGGUGCCGGAAGGUUAAUUGAUGGGGUCAGCGCAAGCGAAGCUCUUGAUCGAAGCCCCGGUAAACGGCGGCCGUAACUAUAACGGUCCUAAGGUAGCGAAAUUCCUUGUCGGGUAAGUUCCGACCUGCACGAAUGGCGUAAUGAUGGCCAGGCUGUCUCCACCCGAGACUCAGUGAAAUUGAACUCGCUGUGAAGAUGCAGUGUACCCGCGGCAAGACGGAAAGACCCCGUGAACCUUUACUAUAGCUUGACACUGAACAUUGAGCCUUGAUGUGUAGGAUAGGUGGGAGGCUUUGAAGUGUGGACGCCAGUCUGCAUGGAGCCGACCUUGAAAUACCACCCUUUAAUGUUUGAUGUUCUAACGUUGACCCGUGAUCCGGGUUGCGGACAGUGUCUGGUGGGUAGUUUGACUGGGGCGGUCUCCUCCUAAAGAGUAACGGAGGAGCACGAAGGUUGGCUAAUCCUGGUCGGACAUCAGGAGGUUAGUGCAAUGGCAUAAGCCAGCUUGACUGCGAGCGUGACGGCGCGAGCAGGUGCGAAAGCAGGUCAUAGUGAUCCGGUGGUUCUGAAUGGAAGGGCCAUCGCUCAACGGAUAAAAGGUACUCCGGGGAUAACAGGCUGAUACCGCCCAAGAGUUCAUAUCGACGGCGGUGUUUGGCACCUCGAUGUCGGCUCAUCACAUCCUGGGGCUGAAGUAGGUCCCAAGGGUAUGGCUGUUCGCCAUUUAAAGUGGUACGCGAGCUGGGUUUAGAACGUCGUGAGACAGUUCGGUCCCUAUCUGCCGUGGGCGCUGGAGAACUGAGGGGGGCUGCUCCUAGUACGAGAGGACCGGAGUGGACGCAUCACUGGUGUUCGGGUUGUCAUGCCAAUGGCACUGCCCGGUAGCUAAAUGCGGAAGAGAUAAGUGCUGAAAGCAUCUAAGCACGAAACUUGCCCCGAGAUGAGUUCUCCCUGACCCUUUAAGGGUCCUGAAGGAACGUUGAAGACGACGACGUUGAUAGGCCGGGUGUGUAAGCGCAGCGAUGCGUUGAGCUAACCGGUACUAAUGAACCGUGAGGCUUAACCU